rnacentral:rRNA from 1 species
GACGAACGCUGGCGGCGUGCUUAACACAUGCAAGUCGAACGGAAAGGCCCUGCUUUUGUGGGGUGCUCGAGUGGCGAACGGGUGAGUAACACGUGAGUAACCUGCCCUUGACUUUGGGAUAACUUCAGGAAACUGGGGCUAAUACCGGAUAGGAGCUCCUGCUGCAUGGUGGGGGUUGGAAAGUUUCGGCGGUUGGGGAUGGACUCGCGGCUUAUCAGCUUGUUGGUGGGGUAGUGGCUUACCAAGGCUUUGACGGGUAGCCGGCCUGAGAGGGUGACCGGCCACAUUGGGACUGAGAUACGGCCCAGACUCCGACGGGAGGCAGAAGUGGGGAAUAUUGCACAAUGGGAGGAAGCCUGAUGCAGCAACGCCGCGUGCGGGAUGACGGCCUUCGGGUUGUAAACCGCUUUCGCCUGUGACGAAGCGUGAGUGACGGUAAUGGGUAAAGAAGCACCGGCUAACUACGUG